UGUUAAAGGGGCACUAGCUGUCAAAUUCAUGGUCAUCGAUUUGACUCAAAUUCUCAUAUUUGAUUUAUAACAAUGUAAAACAUUUAUCCAAACUAUCAAAAGUCUAAAAUAAACAGUUUACAGAGCAUGUAGUAGAUAAUAUAUAGGUUCAUUUUGUGUGUAUUUUAGUCCAGACGCCAUCUAAUUAACUAUCGAUUUGACCUCAGAUGACCAUAUAAGCGAUGUAAACAUAAAUAAAGAUAUGAAUAGAUUAAACCAACACAUGCAAUUGGAUUUUUAUAGGUCUGUUUGAUUUUAUU
rnacentral:lncRNA from 1 species